GACGAACGCUGGCGGCGUGCCUAAUACAUGCAAGUAGAACGCAGUGGCGAAAGGGUGAGUAACGCGUAGGUAACGGCCUCAUAGCGGGGGAAAAAAAGAGGAAACGAUAGCUAAUACAGCAUACUGUGAGAUGGACCGCAUUUUUAUGAGCGAGUUGGUGAGGUAAAGGCUCACCAAGGCGACGAUACAUACCCGACCUGAGAGGGUGAUCGGCCACCCUGGGACUGAGACCCGGCCCAGACUCCUACGGGAGGCAGCCGUAUGGAAUCUUCGGCAAUUGACGGAAGUCUGACCGAGCAACGCCGCGUGAGUUAAGAAGGUUUUCGGAUCGUAAAGCUCUUUUGUUAGAGAAGCGGUAACUAAACAGAAAGGGACGGCUAACUACGUGCCAGCAGCCGCGGUAAUAC
rnacentral:rRNA from 1 species